GAUUGAACGCUGGCGGCAGGCCUAACACAUGCAAGUCGAGCGGUAGCACAGAGAGCUUGCUCUCGGGUGACGAGCGGCGGACGGGUGAGUAAUGUCUGGGAAACUGCCUGAUGGAGGGGGAUAACUACUGGAAACGGUAGCUAAUACCGCAUAACGUCGCAAGACCAAAGUGGGGGACCUUCGGGCCUCAUGCCAUCAGAUGUGCCCAGAUGGGAUUAGCUAGUAGGUGGGGUAACGGCUCACCUAGGCGACGAUCCCUAGCUGGUCUGAGAGGAUGACCAGCCACACUGGAACUGAGACACGGUCCAGACUCCUACGGGAGGCAGCAGUGGGGAAUAUUGCACAAUGGGCGCAAGCCUGAUGCAGCCAUGCCGCGUGUGUGAAGAAGGCCUUCGGGUUGUAAAGCACUUUCAGCGGGGAGGAAGGCGAUAAGGUUAAUAACCUUGUCGAUUGACGUUACCCGCAGAAGAAGCACCGGCUAACUCCGUGCCAGCAGCCGCGGUAAUACGGAGGGUGCAAGCGUUAAUCGGAAUUACUGGGCGUAAAGCGCACGCAGGCGGUCUGUCAAGUCGGAUGUGAAAUCCCCGGGCUCAACCUGGGAACUGCAUUCGAAACUGGCAGGCUAGAGUCUUGUAGAGGGGGGUAGAAUUCCAGGUGUAGCGGUGAAAUGCGUAGAGAUCUGGAGGAAUACCGGUGGCGAAGGCGGCCCCCUGGACAAAGACUGACGCUCAGGUGCGAAAGCGUGGGGAGCAAACAGGAUUAGAUACCCUGGUAGUCCACGCCGUAAACGAUGUCGAUUUGGAGGUUGUGCCCUUGAGGCGUGGCUUCCGGAGCUAACG
rnacentral:rRNA from 1 species